ACUAAGCGUACACGGUGGAUGCCCUGGCAGUCAGAGGCGAUGAAGGACGUGCUAAUCUGCGAAAAGCGUCGGUAAGGUGAUAUGAACCGUUAUAACCGGCGAUGUCCGAAUGGGGAAACCCAGUGCAAUUCGUUGCACUAUCGUUAACUGAAUACAUAGGUUAACGAGGCGAACCGGGGGAACUGAAACAUCUAAGUACCCCGAGGAAAAGAAAUCAACCGAGAUUCCCCCAGUAGCGGCGAGCGAACGGGGAGCAGCCCAGAGUCUGAAUCAGCUUGUGUGUUAGUGGAACGGUCUGGAAAGUCCGACGGUACAGGGUGAUAGUCCCGUACACCAAAAUGCACAGGCUGUGAACUCGAAGAGUAGGGCGGGACACGUGGUAUCCUGUCUGAAUAUGGGGGGACCAUCCUCCAAGGCUAAAUACUCCUGACUGACCGAUAGUGAACCAGUACCGUGAGGGAAAGGCGAAAAGAACCCCGGCGAGGGGAGUGAAAAAGAACCUGAAACCGUGUACGUACAAGCAGUGGGAGCACCUUCGGGUGUGACUGCGUACCUUUUGUAUAAUGGGUCAGCGACUUAUAUUCUGUAGCAAGGUUAACCGUAUAGGGGAGCCGCAGGGAAACCGAGUCUUAACUGGGCGUUAAGUUGCAGGGUAUAGACCCGAAACCCGGUGAUCUAGCCAUGGGCAGGUUGAAGGUUGGGUAACACUAACUGGAGGACCGAACCGACUAAUGUUGAAAAAUUAGCGGAUGACUUGUGGCUGGGGGUGAAAGGCCAAUCAAACCGGGAGAUAGCUGGUUCUCCCCGAAAGCUAUUUAGGUAGCGCCUCGUGAAUUCAUCUUCGGGGGUAGAGCACUGUUUCGGCUAGGGGGUCAUCCCGACUUACCAACCCGAUGCAAACUACGAAUACCGAAGAAUGUUAUCACGGGAGACACACGGCGGGUGCUAACGUCCGUCGUGAAGAGGGAAACAACCCAGACCGCCAGCUAAGGUCCCAAAGUCAUGGUUAAGUGGGAAACGAUGUGGGAAGGCACAGACAGCCAGGAUGUUGGCUUAGAAGCAGCCAUCAUUUAAAGAAAGCGUAAUAGCUCACUGGUCGAGUCGGCCUGCGCGGAAGAUGUAACGGGGCUAAACCAUGCACCGAAGCUGCGGCAGCGACACUAUGUGUUGUUGGGUAGGGGAGCGUUCUGUAAGCCUGCGAAGGUGACCUGUGAGGGUUGCUGGAGGUAUCAGAAGUGCGAAUGCUGACAUAAGUAACGAUAAAGCGGGUGAAAAGCCCGCUCGCCGGAAGACCAAGGGUUCCUGUCCAACGUUAAUCGGGGCAGGGUGAGUCGACCCCUAAGGCGAGGCCGAAAGGCGUAGUCGAUGGGAAACAGGUUAAUAUUCCUGUACUUGGUGUUACUGCGAAGGGGGGACGGAGAAGGCUAUGUUAGCCGGGCGACGGUUGUCCCGGUUUAAGCAUGUAGGCUGGUUAUCCAGGCAAAUCCGGAUAAUCAAGGCUGAGGUGUGAUGACGAGGCACUACGGUGCUGAAGUAACAAAUGCCCUGCUUCCAGGAAAAGCCUCUAAGCAUCAGGUAACAUCAAAUCGUACCCCAAACCGACACAGGUGGUCAGGUAGAGAAUACCAAGGCGCUUGAGAGAACUCGGGUGAAGGAACUAGGCAAAAUGGUGCCGUAACUUCGGGAGAAGGCACGCUGGUGUGUAGGUGAAGCCCCUGCGGGUGGAGCUGAGACCAGUCGAAGAUACCAGCUGGCUGCAACUGUUUAUUAAAAACACAGCACUGUGCAAACACGAAAGUGGACGUAUACGGUGUGACGCCUGCCCGGUGCCGGAAGGUUAAUUGAUGGGGUUAUCCGUAAGGAGAAGCUCUUGAUCGAAGCCCCGGUAAACGGCGGCCGUAACUAUAACGGUCCUAAGGUAGCGAAAUUCCUUGUCGGGUAAGUUCCGACCUGCACGAAUGGCGUAAUGAUGGCCAGGCUGUCUCCACCCGAGACUCAGUGAAAUUGAACUCGCUGUGAAGAUGCAGUGUACCCGCGGCAAGACGGAAAGACCCCGUGAACCUUUACUAUAGCUUGACACUGAACAUUGAGCCUUGAUGUGUAGGAUAGGUGGGAGGCUUUGAAGCGUGGACGCCAGUCUGCGUGGAGCCAACCUUGAAAUACCACCCUUUAAUGUUUGAUGUUCUAACGUUGGCCCCUGACCGGGGUUGCGGACAGUGUCUGGUGGGUAGUUUGACUGGGGCGGUCUCCUCCCAAAGCGUAACGGAGGAGCACGAAGGUUAGCUAAUCCUGGUCGGACAUCAGGAGGUUAGUGCAAUGGCAUAAGCUAGCUUGACUGCGAGCGUGACGGCGCGAGCAGGUGCGAAAGCAGGUCAUAGUGAUCCGGUGGUUCUGAAUGGAAGGGCCAUCGCUCAACGGAUAAAAGGUACUCCGGGGAUAACAGGCUGAUACCGCCCAAGAGUUCAUAUCGACGGCGGUGUUUGGCACCUCGAUGUCGGCUCAUCACAUCCUGGGGCUGAAGUAGGUCCCAAGGGUAUGGCUGUUCGCCAUUUAAAGUGGUACGCGAGCUGGGUUUAGAACGUCGUGAGACAGUUCGGUCCCUAUCUGCCGUGGGCGCUGGAGAAUUGAGGGGGGCUGCUCCUAGUACGAGAGGACCGGAGUGGACGCAUCACUGGUGUUCGGGUUGUCAUGCCAAUGGCACUGCCCGGUAGCUAAAUGCGGAAGAGAUAAGUGCUGAAAGCAUCUAAGCACGAAACUUGCCCCGAGAUGAGUUCUCCCUGAGACUUUAAGUCUCCUGAAGGAACGUUAAAGACGAUGACGUUGAUAGGCCGGGUGUGUAAGCGCAGCGAUGCGUUGAGCUAACCGGUACUAAUGAACCGUGAGGCUUAACC
rnacentral:rRNA from 1 species